rnacentral:rRNA from 1 species
CUACAGGCUUAACACAUGCAAGUCGAGGGGCAGCAUGGUCUUAGCUUGCUAAGGCCGAUGGCGACCGGCGCACGGGUGAGUAACACGUAUCCAACCUGCCGUCUACUCUUGGACAGCCUUCUGAAAGGAAGAUUAAUACAAGAUGGCAUCAUGAGUCCGCAUGUUCACAUGAUUAAAGGUAUUCCGGUAGACGAUGGGGAUGCGUUCCAUUAGAUAGUAGGCGGGGUAACGGCCCACCUAGUCUUCGAUGGAUAGGGGUUCUGAGAGGAAGGUCCCCCACAUUGGAACUGAGACACGGUCCAAACUCCUACGGGAGGCAGCAGUGAGGAAUAUUGGUCAAUGGGCGAGAGCCUGAACCAGCCAAGUAGCGUGAAGGAUGACUGCCCUAUGGGUUGUAAACUUCUUUUAUAAAGGAAUAAAGUCGGGUAUGGAUACCCGUUUGCAUGUACUUUAUGAAUAAGGAUCGGCUAACUCCGUGCCAGCAGCCGCGGUAAUACGGAGGAUCCGAGCGUUAUCCGGAUUUAUUGGGUUUAAAGGGAGCGUAGAUGGAUGUUUAAGUCAGUUGUGAAAGUUUGCGGCUCAACCGUAAAAUUGCAGUUGAUACUGGAUAUCUUGAGUGCAGUUGAGGCAGGCGGAAUUCGUGGUGUAGCGGUGAAAUGCUUAGAUAUCACGAAGAACUCCGAUUGCGAAGGCAGCCUGCUAAGCUGCAACUGACAUUGAGGCUCGAAAGUGUGGGUAUCAAACAGGAUUAGAUACCCUGGUAGUCCACACGGUAAACGAUGAAUACUCGCUGUUUGCGAUAUACUGCAAGCGGCCAAGCGAAAGCGUUAAGUAUUCCACCUGGGGAGUACGCCGGCAACGGUGAAACUCAAAGGAAUUGACGGGGGCCCGCACAAGCGGAGGAACAUGUGGUUUAAUUCGAUGAUACGCGAGGAACCUUACCCGGGCUUAAAUUGCAGAUGAAUUACGGUGAAAGCCGUAAGCCGCAAGGCAUCUGUGAAGGUGCUGCAUGGUUGUCGUCAGCUCGUGCCGUGAGGUGUCGGCUUAAGUGCCAUAACGAGCGCAACCCUUGUUGUCAGUUACUAACAGGUUCCGCUGAGGACUCUGACAAGACUGCCAUCGUAAGAUGUGAGGAAGGUGGGGAUGACGUCAAAUCAGCACGGCCCUUACGUCCGGGGCUACACACGUGUUACAAUGGGGGGUACAGAGGGCCGCUACCACGCGAGUGGAUGCCAAUCCCCAAAACCUCUCUCAGUUCGGACUGGAGUCUGCAACCCGACUCCACGAAGCUGGAUUCGCUAGUAAUCGCGCAUCAGCCACGGCGCGGUGAAUACGUUCCCGGGCCUUGUACACACCGCCCGUCAAGCCAUGGGAGCCGGGGGUACCUGAAGUGCGUAACCGCGAGGAGCGCCCUAGGGUAAAACUGGUGACUGGGGCUAAGUCAUAAC